ACUUAUCGUAUUACUACUCCUUCCGUAUUUGAUAUAAUCUAGACUAACUUAAAAACAAUAACUAUUUGAACUUAUCUAUAGGGGAGAGGGGACAUUAUAUCCUCACACACAUUAUUUAAUAUUGUAAAAGCUAUAUUUUACGUGCAUUAUUGAAUGUAACGAUGUGUUUCUUGUAUUCAAAUAACGAUAAGUUGACAAACUCUUGGAACUGAUAAUUCGUUUUUCCGCAUGAUGAUUUUUUAUCUCUGAUAAAUGUACCUAUAUAUAAGGUGGUUUUGGCCUUAAUAUAAAAUAUCAUCCCGUGCAAGUAAUAAACAACAACCUGUUUAACUAAAGAUAAAAAUAUGGCAAUUGGAAAGUUCAUAGUCACUGUUGCAAUAAUUGCUACGAUAAUGGCAACUGUAGUUACCGGAAAGGCUAUCGAUAAAGCCGCCCUACAGUCACUCGUCGGGGGAGGAUUAGGAUAAAACUGAAAGGUGAAUCGCAAAUAAUUACGAAAUUGUAAAAUUACAAUUUCAAAAUGGAUAUAUCAAUAAAAUAUUAAUUGAAUGAAUAU